GACUACCGGGGUAUCUAAUCCUGUUUGCUCCCCACGCUUUCGUACCUCAGCGUCAGAUAUGGACCAAGAAGCUGCCUUCGCCAUCGGUGUUCCUCUCGAGAUCUACGCAUUUUACCGCUACUCCGAGAAUUCCGCUUCUCUCUUCCAUCCUCAAGCAAAUCAGUUUCAGUCACAGAUUUCUAGUUGAGCUAGAAGAUUUAAUGACUGACUUAUUUCGCCGUCUACGUACCCUUUACGCCCAAUGAUUCCGAAUAACGUUUGCACCCCUCGUAUUACCGCGGCUGCUGGCACGAAGUUAGCCGGUGCUUUCUUUAGUGGUACCAUCAUCCCUCGCUUCUAUUAAAAGCAAGUCUUUUUUCCCACUUAACAGGAGUUUACAAUCCGAAGACCUUCAUCCUCCACGCGGCGUCGCUGCAUCAGGCUUUCGCCCAUUGUGCAAUAUUCCUCACUGCAGCCGCCCGUAGG
rnacentral:rRNA from 1 species